rnacentral:rRNA from 1 species
AGAGUUUGAUCCUGGCUCAGGAUGAACGCUAGCGGCAGGCCUAAUACAUGCAAGUCGUACGAAGCCUUCGGGCUUAGUGGCGAACGGGUGCGUAACACGUAAACAACCUGCCCUUCGGAGGGGGACAACGCCUGGAAACGGGCGCUAAUACCGCAUAACGUUGCGAAGUCGCAUGGCUUUGCAACCAAAGGAGUAAUCCGCCGGAGGAGGGGUUUGCGUUAGAUUAGCUAGUUGGCGGGGUAACGGCCCACCAAGGCAACGAUCUAUAGCUGGUCUGAGAGGAUGAUCAGCCACACUGGCACUGAGACACGGGCCAGACUCCUACGGGAGGCAGCAGUAAGGAAUAUUGGUCAAUGGGCGCAAGCCUGAACCAGCCAUGCCGCGUGCGGGAAGACGGCCCUCUGGGUUGUAAACCGCUUUUCUUGGAGAGUAAAGCCAUGGUUGCCAUGGGGUGAACGUAUCCAAGGAAUAAGCACCGGCUAACUACGUGCCAGCAGCCGCGGUAAUACGUAGGGUGCAAGCGUUGUCCGGAAUCACUGGGUUUAAAGGGUGCGCAGGCGGACUGGUAAGUCGAUGAUGAAAUGUC